CGGUAGCACAGAGAGCUUGCUCUCGGGUGACGAGCGGCGGACGGGUGAGUAAUGUCUGGGAAACUGCCUGAUGGAGGGGGAUAACUACUGGAAACGGUAGCUAAUACCGCAUAAUGUCGCAAGACCAAAGUGGGGGACCUUCGGGCCUCAUGCCAUCAGAUGUGCCCAGAUGGGAUUAGCUAGUAGGUGGGGUAACGGCUCACCUAGGCGACGAUCCCUAGCUGGUCUGAGAGGAUGACCAGCCACACUGGAACUGAGACACGGUCCAGACUCCUACGGGAGGCAGCAGUGGGGAAUAUUGCACAAUGGGCGCAAGCCUGAUGCAGCCAUGCCGCGUGUGUGAAGAAGGCCUUCGGGUUGUAAAGCACUUUCAGCGGGGAGGAAGGCGAUAAGGUUAAUAACCUUGUCGAUUGACGUUACCCGCAGAAGAAGCACCGGCUAACUCCGUGCCAGCAGCCGCGGUAAUACGGAGGGUGCAAGCGUUAAUCGGAAUUACUGGGCGUAAAGCGCACGCAGGCGGUCUGUCAAGUCGGAUGUGAAAUCCCCGGGCUCAACCUGGGAACUGCAUUCGAAACUGGCAGGCUAGAGUCUUGUAGAGGGGGGUAGAAUUCCAGGUGUAGCGGUGAAAUGCGUAGAGAUCUGGAGGAAUACCGGUGGCGAAGGCGGCCCCCUGGACAAAGACUGACGCUCAGGUGCGAAAGCGUGGGGAGCAAACAGGAUUAGAUACCCUGGUAGUCCACGCCGUAAACGAUGUCGAUUUGGAGGUUGUGCCCUUGAGGCGUGGCUUCCGGAGCUAACGCGUUAAAUCGACCGCCUGGGGAGUACGGCCGCAAGGUUAAAACUCAAAUGAAUUGACGGGGGCCCGCACAAGCGGUGGAGCAUGUGGUUUAAUUCGAUGCAACGCGAAGAACCUUACCUGGUCUUGACAUCCACAGAACUUAGCAGAGAUGCUUUGGUGCCUUCGGGAACUGUGAGACAGGUGCUGCAUGGCUGUCGUCAGCUCGUGUUGUGAAAUGUUGGGUUAAGUCCCGCAACGAGCGCAACCCUUAUCCUUUGUUGCCAGCGGUCCGGCCGGGAACUCAAAGGAGACUGCCAGUGAUAAACUGGAGGAAGGUGGGGAUGACGUCAAGUCAUCAUGGCCCUUACGACCAGGGCUACACACGUGCUACAAUGGCAUAUACAAAGAGAAGCGACCUCGCGAGAGCAAGCGGACCUCAUAAAGUAUGUCGUAGUCCGGAUUGGAGUCUGCAACUCGACUCCAUGAAGUCGGAAUCGCUAGUAAUCGUAGAUCAGAAUGCUACGGUGAAUACGUUCCCGGGCCUUGUACACACCGCCCGUCACACCAUGGGAGUGGGUUGCAAAAGAAGUAGGUAGCUUAACCUUCGGGAGGGCGCUUACCACUUUGUGAUUCAUGACUGGGGUGAAGUCGUAACAAGGUAACCGUAGGGGAACCUGCGGUUGGAUCACCUCCUUA
rnacentral:rRNA from 1 species